GACGAACGCUGGCGGCGUGCUUAACACAUGCAAGUCGAACGGAAAGGCCCUGCUUUUGUGGGGUGCUCGAGUGGCGAACGGGUGAGUAACACGUGAGUAACCUGCCCUUGACUUUGGGAUAACUUCAGGAAACUGGGGCUAAUACCGGAUAGGAGCUCCUGCUGCAUGGUGGGGGUUGGAAAGUUUCGGCGGUUGGGGAUGGACUCGCGGCUUAUCAGCUUGUUGGUGGGGUAGUGGCUUACCAAGGCUUUGACGGGUCGCCGGCCUGAGAGGGUGACCGGCCACAUUGGGACUGCGAUACGGCGCAGACUCCUACGGGAGGCAGCGGUGGGGAGUAUUGCACAAUGGGCGGAAGCCUGUUGCAGCAGCGCCGCGUGCGGGAUGACGUCCUUCGGGUUGUAAACCGCUUUCGCCUGUGACGAAGCGUGAGUGACGGUAAUGGGUAAAGAAGCACCGGCUAACUACGUG
rnacentral:rRNA from 1 species